UACAGAGGGUGCGAGCGUUAAUCGAAAUUACUGGGCGUAAAGGGCGCGUAGGCGGUGAGAUGUGUGGGAUGUGAAAGCCCUGGGCUUAACCUGGGAAGUGCAUACCAAACUAUCUUACUGGAGUAGAGCAGAGGGUGGCGGAAUUUCCGGUGUAGCGGUGAAAUGCGUAGAGAUCGGAAGGAACGUCAAUGGCGAAGGCAGCCACCUGGGCUCAUACUGACGCUGAGGCGCGAAAGCGUGGGGAGCGAACAGG
rnacentral:rRNA from 1 species